GGGAAUAUUGGACAAUGGGCGCAAGCCUGAUCCAGCAAUGCCGCGUGAGUGAUGAAGGCCUUAGGGUUGUAAAGCUCUUUUACCAGGGAUGAUAAUGACAGUACCUGGAGAAUAAGCUCCGGCUAACUCCGUGCCAGCAGCCGCGGUAAUACGGAGGGAGCUAGCGUUGUUCGGAAUUACUGGGCGUAAAGCGCACGUAGGCGGUUAUUCAAGUCAGAGGUGAAAGCCCGGGGCUCAACCCCGGAACUGCCUUUGAAACUAGAUGACUGGAAUCUUGGAGAGGUCAGUGGAAUUCCGAGUGUAGAGGUGAAAUUCGUAGAUAUUCGGAAGAACACCAGUGGCGAAGGCGACUGACUGGACAAGUAUUGACGCUGAGGUGCGAAAGCGUGGGGAGCAAAC
rnacentral:rRNA from 1 species